rnacentral:lncRNA from 10 species
AGAGGACCCUGGAAUUAAAAAGAAACUCAGCUAACUGCAGCGACCGCUCUCAAAUUCUCCACCCGUUCCCUCUGGGCGAGUUCCAAUUAGGUAACAAUUAGGGAAAAAAGAAGCUUCAGUCCCUCCCAUUGCACACCCAACUUUCACAGACCCAAAAAUCUAGCUAAAGCAGGCGAAAGAGCAGUGAAAGCAAUGACGGAAUCCAGUCUGUGAAAGAGGCUCAUCUUCACAUUCACAGUGCGAAGGUAGGUCCAGAGCCGGGCCAGCCCCGCAGCAGCAAAGCCGUGACACCCACCACCAGGAGAACAGAAGCAACGUCUAGGUCAGAGAUUAGCAACUGCCAAAAAUAAGGUGAAAGUUGCCCCCAAAGCCAGUGAACACAGGAAAACCUGGGCAGGUUUCCUUCGCAAAGAAAGUGAAGAAAGUUUAAAACGCUCAGAAAAGCAAGAAACGAGUGCUAAGCAUUACUUACCAUAUGAGCUGUAUGUUAAAAGCUUGUUUUUUUAUUUACCAGUGCUAGAAAUAAGUUUCAUGCCAAGGUUUUACAAGAAAAAAUAUCUUUGAAAAAUAUUCAUGAGAACCAAGUCUCACAAGAAAAAUUAAAACUUGAGAAUUACUACAAACUUUUAGACAUCAAAUUUUAAAAAAAUGAAAUGCUUUCUGUGUUAGGUACGGAUCUUCAAACUCCCACAUCAAUUACCAAGCGUGACACACAAACAUGGGAAUAGGUGUAUAUUUCUUUUAGCCGGGAAUGGUGGCACAUGCCUGUGGUCCCAGGUACUCGGGAGGCUGAGGUGAGAGGAUCACCUGAGCCCGGGAGGUCGAGGCUGCAGUGAGCUGAGAUCACACCACCGCACUCAAGCCUGG